rnacentral:rRNA from 1 species
GACGAACGCUGGCGGCGUGCUUAACACAUGCAAGUUGAACGGAAAGGCCCUGCUUUUGUGGGGUGCUCGAGUGGCGAACGGGUGAGUAACACGUGAGUAACCUGCCCUUGACUUUGGGAUAACUUCAGGAAACUGGGGCGAAUACCGGAUAGGAGCUCCUGCUGCAUGGUGGGGGUUGGAAAGUUUCGGCGGUUUGGGCUGGACUCGCGGCUUAUCAGCUUGUUGGUGGGGUAGUGGCUUACCAAGGCUUUGACGGGUAGCCGGCCUGAGAGGGUGACCGGCCUCAUUGGGACUGAGAUACGGCCCAGACUCCUACGGGAGGCAGCGGUGGGGAACAUUGCACAGUGGGCGGAAGUCUGAUGCAGCAACGCCGCGUGCGGGAUGACGGCCUUCGGGUUAUAAACCGCUUUCGCCUGUGACGAAGAGUGAGUGACGGUAAUGGGUAAAGAAGCACCGGCUAACUACGUG